AGCUCCAAUAGCGUAUAUUAAAGUUGUUGUGGUUAAAAAGCUCGUAGUUGAAUUUCUGCAUUGGGGCACCGGUCCGCCCUUGGGGUGAGAAUCUGGCUGUCCUGUGCAUCUUCUUGGAGAACGCUAUUGCAUUUAACUAUGUGAUUGAGGAAACCAGGACUUUUACUUUGAGGAAAUUAGAGUGUUUCAAGCAGGCUCAUGCUUGAAUACAUUAGCAUGGAAUAAUAAGAUAGGACCUUGGUUCUAUGUUUUGGUUCGUAGAGCUAAGGUAAUGAUUAAUAGGGAUAGUUGGGGGCAUUCGUAUUUAACUGUCAGAGGUGAAAUUCUUGGAUUUGUUAAAGACGGACUAAUGCGAAAGCACUUGCCAAGGAUGUUU
rnacentral:rRNA from 1 species